UACGGUCGCAUCACGUUGAAACACCGGUUCCCGUACGAUCACCGAAGUUAAGCAAGGUCGAGGUUGGUAAGUACCUUCAUGGGUAUCCG